UACGUAGGGUGCAAGCGUUAUCCGGAAUCAUUGGGCGUAAAGCGUUCGUAGGCGGUUUGGUAAGUUCGUGGUUAAAUCUGGCCGCUCAACGGUCAACAUGCCACGAAUACUGCUAAGCUAGAGGAUGGCAGAGGUAACUGGAAUUCUGUGUGUAGGGGUAAAAUCCGUUGAUACACAGAGGAACACCAAAAGCGAAGGCAGGUUACUGGGCCAUUUCUGACGCUGUUGAACGAAAGCGUGGGGAGCAAACAGG
rnacentral:rRNA from 1 species